rnacentral:lncRNA from 1 species
CCAGGCUGAAACCCUAGGGAACACACUAAAAACCCUGCGCCCAAUUUUCUUUCUUUUCUUUCUUUUUCUCUCGAAAAUUUUAGAUUUCCUACUCAUGCACAAGCAUUCCUCAUGCCCCACUUUCUCACUCAAAAAGUCUCUACGCACGCUCCACCUCCCUUUCUCUUUUAAAACAGUUCAAAACGUGUCUUAUCCGCGUGAGAGGAUAAAGAUAAGUGGUUGCACAUUUGAAUUCAAAUCAAAUUUGAAUUCAAAUGCAAACCAACUCAUCCCUAUCCACUUGGGCGUGAGAAGAGAAGGU